GUUUGUUUACAAUCUCAAACAAAAGCGAAUUCAUUUAUUCCUUUGAAUUUUUUGUAAUCGGUGAUAAUAGUUCGGAGUGAUUGAACUGCAACUAAAAAGAUUUGCAUUGUAAUAAAGGAUCGGACCAAAGAGAAGUCGGAACGAAUUGCAGCCUGGUCAUCAUCUGGCCCUACAGACUCCCACGGACUUCCAGCGUACUCUCCCUUCUCUGCUCAACUCGGUGAACUCCGGGCCGUUUCAGGUAUUUUAGGACCUACACUUCACAAGGAUUGCUCGUAGUUUUAAUUGUUGUUAGAGACAAUCUGUGGAUACCAAACAACAAUCGGACGCAUGAUAUAUGCCCAAAGAAUUUCCCUGCAAAUCUUCAAUCUCGUAACAGGACGAUCCGAUUUUUCCUACUACCUUCGCCAAGGAAAACGUAUCUGCCAAUUUCGCAGAAAAAUUUUUGGAUUUAUUGGACUGGACAAAGUUUUUCUUCAUCACCGUUUCUCCUAUUUCAAACGUUGUCUCAAUUUCCAAGAUGUGAAGUGUGAUGCAGAACAAUUCGUUGGAGCUUCGAAAUGAAAAUGAAAUCCAAUUUACCCAAUACAAAUUCAAAUAAACUUCGAGGAAGUUGUAACUUAAGUCUUCAAAACUAUGAAUUUCAAAUAACUUAUCCGAAUAUUUACUUUACAAAAAACUAAUAAUUCAAAUUUUAACCACUAAACUAACCCUAUUAAUAAUAAAUUCAAUUCAAUAUAUCUACAAAUUCAAAUAACAAUAAUAAUAUAUACAAUUGUUUUUUUAGAACCAAACCGUUAGUUGGGCGCCAAAUGUAACGGGAGGAAGGAUAUCGAGGACAAGGAGGCGAUACAACCUUCACUUAAGCGCCAGGCAAGUUAUUACACUUGCCGUGAAGGAGCGAGAUUUGUCUCUUCAGUUUCCCGUGUCCGACCGUGAGACCUCAGGGCGAGUUCCUGCCAACGAUCUUCAACCCACACUUGAAUUGUCUUGGCGCUCACCAAGGAAUAGAAUUCAAUCAAAUUGGUAUUCAAAACAUCCAGGAUGGAAAGGUUUCCUUUGAAGGUUUGCCUUCCCAGAGCCUAUGCUACCUCGAACCCGAAAACCGAGCAAUUGAAAAGCCUCCAAACAGCCAAAAUUCAAUCAACAUAAAUUAUAAUGUGAAAUACAGUAUCUAUACAGUUGU